UGUGUAGGCGGUUGUUUAAGUUUGGUGUGAAAUCUCCCGGCUCAACUGGGAGGGUGCGCCGAAUACUGAAUGACUAGAGUGCGGGAGAGGAGAGUGGAAUUCCUGGUGUAGCGGUGAAAUGCGUAGAUAUCAGGAGGAACACCGGCGGUGUAGGCGGCUCUCUGGACCGUAACUGACGCUGAGACACGAAAGCGUGGGGAGCAAACAGGAUUAGAUACCCUGGUAGUCCACGCCCUAAACGAUGCGCAUUUGGUGUGGGUCAUUCAGUUGAUCCGUGCCGGAGCUAACGCGUUAAAUGCGCCGCCUGGGGAGUACAGUCGCAAGGCUGAA
rnacentral:rRNA from 1 species